rnacentral:rRNA from 1 species
AGAGUUUGAUCAUGGCUCAGGAUGAACGCCGGCGGUGUGCCUAAUACAUGCAAGUCGUACGCACUGGCCCAACUGAUUGAUGGUGCUUGCACCUGAUUGACGAUGGAUUACCAGUGAGUGGCGGACGGGUGAGUAACACGUAGGUAACCUGCCCCGGAGCGGGGGAUAACAUUUGGAAACAGAUGCUAAUACCGCAUAACAACAAAAGCCACAUGGCUUUUGUUUAAAAGAUGGCUUUGGCUAUCACUCUGGGAUGGACCUGCGGUGCAUUAGCUAGUUGGUAAGGUAACGGCUUACCAAGGCGAUGAUGCAUAGCCGAGUUGAGAGACUGAUCGGCCACAAUGGAACUGAGACACGGUCCAUACUCCUACGGGAGGCAGCAGUAGGGAAUCUUCCACAAUGGGCGCAAGCCUGAUGGAGCAACACCGCGUGAGUGAAGAAGGGUUUCGGCUCGUAAAGCUCUGUUGUUGGAGAAGAACGUGCGUGAGAGUAACUGUUCAUGCAGUGACGGUAUCCAACCAGAAAGUCACGGCUAACUACGUGCCAGCAGCCGCGGUAAUACGUAGGUGGCAAGCGUUAUCCGGAUUUAUUGGGCGUAAAGCGAGCGCAGGCGGUUGCUUAGGUCUGAUGUGAAAGCCUUCGGCUUAACCGAAGAAGUGCAUCGGAAACCGGGCGACUUGAGUGCAGAAGAGGACAGUGGAACUCCAUGUGUAGCGGUGGAAUGCGUAGAUAUAUGGAAGAACACCAGUGGCGAAGGCGGCUGUCUGGUCUGCAACUGACGCUGAGGCUCGAAAGCAUGGGUAGCGAACAGGAUUAGAUACCCUGGUAGUCC